rnacentral:rRNA from 1 species
AUUAAACGCUGGCGGCGUGCCUAAUACGUGCAAGUCGAACGAGGUGCCUUUGUAGCAAUACGAAGGUAUCCUAGUGGCGAACGGGUGAGUAACGCGUUGGUGACCUACCCCAAAGUGUGGGAUAACAGAUCGAAAGAUCUGCUAAUACCGCAUGUGGUCUUCGGAUUUAGAAACUGAUGACUAAAGGAGCAAUUCGCUUUGGGAGGGACCUGCGUCCCAUCAGCUAGUUGGUGAGGUAAUGGCUCACCAAGGCUACGACGGGUAGGGGACUUGAGAGGGUGGCCCCCCACAAUGGAACUGAAACACGGUCCAUACACCUACGGGUGGCAGCAGUAGGGAAUAUUGCACAAUGGGCGAAAGCCUGAUGCAGCAACGCCGCGUGUGCGAUGAAGGCC